GAAGGUAUAGCUCAGUGGUAGAGCACAUGCUUAGCAUGCAUGAGGUCCUGGGUUCAAUCCCCAGUACCUCCA
rfam:Camelus ferus unplaced genomic scaffold scaffold2679, whole genome shotgun sequence.